UACGAAGGGGGCUAGCGUUGUUCGGAAUUACUGGGCGUAAAGCGCACGUAGGCGGAUCUUUAAGUCAGGGGUGAAAUCCCGAGGCUCAACCUCGGAACUGCCUUUGAUACUGGGGAUAUCGAGUCCGGGGGAGGUGAGUGGAGCUGCGAGUGUAGAGGUGAAAUUCGUAGAUAUUCGCAAGAACACCAGUGGCGAAGGCGGCUCACUGGCCCGGUACUGACGCUGAGGCGCGAAAGCGUGGGGAGCGAACAGG
rnacentral:rRNA from 1 species